rnacentral:rRNA from 1 species
GAGUUUGAUCCUGGCUCAGGAUGAACGCUGGCGGCGUGCCUAAUACAUGCAAGUCGAGCGAACGGACGAGAAGUUUGCUUCUCUGAUGUUAGCGGCGGACGGGUGAGUAACACGUGGAUAACCUACCUAUAAGACUGGGAUAACUUCGGGAAACCGGAGCUAAUACCGGAUAAUAUUUUGAACCGCAUGGUUCAAAAGUGAAAGACGGUCUUGCUGUCACUUAUAGAUGGAUCCGCGCUGCAUUAGCUAGUUGGUAAGGUAACGGCUUACCAAGGCAACGAUGCAUAGCCGACCUGAGAGGGUGAUCGGCCACACUGGAACUGAGACACGGUCCAGACUCCUACGGGAGGCAGCAGUAGGGAAUCUUCCGCAAUGGGCGAAAGCCUGACGGAGCAACGCCGCGUGAGUGAUGAAGGUCUUCGGAUCGUAAAACUCUGUUAUUAGGGAAGAACAUAUGUGUAAGUAACUGUGCACAUCUUGACGGUACCUAAUCAGAAAGCCACGGCUAACUACGUGCCAGCAGCCGCGGUAAUACGUAGGUGGCAAGCGUUAUCCGGAAUUAUUGGGCGUAAAGCGCGCGUAGGCGGUUUUUUAAGUCUGAUGUGAAAGCCCACGGCUCAACCGUGGAGGGUCAUUGGAAACUGGAAAACUUGAGUGCAGAAGAGGAAAGUGGAAUUCCAUGUGUAGCGGUGAAAUGCGCAGAGAUAUGGAGGAACACCAGUGGCGAAGGCGACUUUCUGGUCUGUAACUGACGCUGAUGUGCGAAAGCGUGGGGAUCAAACAGGAUUAGAUACCCUGGUAGUCCACGCCGUAAACGAUGAGUGCUAAGUGUUAGGGGGUUUCCGCCCCUUAGUGCUGCAGCUAACGCAUUAAGCACUCCGCCUGGGGAGUACGACCGCAAGGUUGAAACUCAAAGGAAUUGACGGGGACCCGCACAAGCGGUGGAGCAUGUGGUUUAAUUCGAAGCAACGCGAAGAACCUUACCAAAUCUUGACAUCCUUUGACAACUCUAGAGAUAGAGCCUUCCCCUUCGGGGGACAAAGUGACAGGUGGUGCAUGGUUGUCGUCAGCUCGUGUCGUGAGAUGUUGGGUUAAGUCCCGCAACGAGCGCAACCCUUAAGCUUAGUUGCCAUCAUUAAGUUGGGCACUCUAAGUUGACUGCCGGUGACAAACCGGAGGAAGGUGGGGAUGACGUCAAAUCAUCAUGCCCCUUAUGAUUUGGGCUACACACGUGCUACAAUGGACAAUACAAAGGGCAGCGAAACCGCGAGGUCAAGCAAAUCCCAUAAAGUUGUUCUCAGUUCGGAUUGUAGUCUGCAACUCGACUACAUGAAGCUGGAAUCGCUAGUAAUCGUAGAUCAGCAUGCUACGGUGAAUACGUUCCCGGGUCUUGUACACACCGCCCGUCACACCACGAGAGUUUGUAACACCCGAAGCCGGUGGAGUAACCUUUUAGGAGCUAGCCGUCGAAGGUGGGACAAAUGAUUGGGGUGAAGUCGUAACAAGGUAGCCGUAUCGGAAGGUGCGGCUGGAUCACC